GAGAUUGAAACCAGUUGAUUAGGUGUUUAGCUGUUAACUAAAUUUUUGUGGGUUUGAAUUCCAUCAAUCUAG
rnacentral:tRNA from 1 species